CAUGUACUCCCUCCGUUUGGAAUUACUUGUCUUGGAUAUGGAUGUAUCUAGAAUUAAAAUACGUUUAGAUACAUCCAUUUCUGCGACAAGUAAUUCCGAACGAAGGGAGUACAGU
rnacentral:pre_miRNA from 1 species